CACAUAGGUCUGUAACUGGGCCACAAUUACUGUAGAAGUCAUGAAUAAAAUGUGGUUAUAACGAGUGCUACUAGUUCUGAAAAAUCAAAAUUCUCAGUUGACCUUGUCACUCAUUUCUUUUUUCUUUGGAAAUUAUUAACCCCGAUAAAAUCUAAGUUUCCAAAGGCUUUAAUGUUACUCGUCAAGUAAAUGGUGAUGAGUUGGUAAUGUUAAGGUUUUUGGAAUCUUGGAUUUUAUCGGAGUUAAUGACUUUUGAAGGAAAGAAAUGAGUGGCUAAGUCGAUGGAGAAUUUUGAUUUUUCAGAACCAGUAACACUCAUUAUGACUACAUUUUGUUCGCAGAUACUACAGUGAUUGUAGCCAUUUUAUGGACUCAUGUG